rnacentral:lncRNA from 1 species
UCAGCUGUAGUAGCUGGUAACAAACACCCAACAGUGAUGCUUAGCUGCAGCGGAGCAGGCAGAUUGAUGGCCAUGCAUGGCAUUGGCAUGGCAUGGCAGUACCACACAGUACUAGCCGGGCAUGCUGCUCGGGGAGAAUAUUUUAGGUUUAGCACACCAACAACUCGGUUGCUUGCAGCAAAAGUGCUCCCUCCCUCCCUCCUCCAGUGAAGUCCUGGAUCCCAAAGCAGUUAAGCGCGAGUGGUAGUACAGUUUUGACUUGUUAACAAUCUUUGAGGAAUUCUCAUAUGCUGGUUAACAUGGUGUCAGGUUGUCAGAGGCGUCGUUGCAAUUGCAGAUGCACUUA